rnacentral:rRNA from 1 species
GGUUAAGUUAACAAGGGCGCAUGGUGAAUGCCUUGGCACUAGGAGCCGAUGAAGGACGGGACUAACACCGAUAUGCUUCGGGGAGCUGUACGUAAGCUAUGAUCCGGAGAUUUCCGAAUGGGGCAACCCAGCAGUUUUAAUCAACUGUUACCACUAGAUGAAUUCAUAGUCUAGUUGGAGGUAAACGCUGUGAACUGAAACAUCUCAUUAGCAGCAGGAAUAUAAAGAAAUUUCGAUUCCCUAAGUAGCGGCGAGCGAACGGGGAACAGCCCAAACCAAAGUGCUUGCACUUUGGGGUUGUAGGACUGAACAUUUGAGUUACCAAAGAACUUGAUAGUCGAAGGAUUUGGGAAAAUCCGCCAUAGAUGGUGAUAGCCCAGUAGAUUAAAUCAAAUUCUCUCAGUUCAGGAUCCUGAGUACGGCGGAACACGUGAAAUUCCGUCGGAAUCCGGGAGGACCAUCUCCCAAGGCUAAAUACUACCUAGUGACCGAUAGUGAACCAGUACCGUGAGGGAAAGGUGAAAAGCACCCCGGGAGGGGAGUGAAAUAGUUCCUGAAACCAUGUGCCUACAAUAAGUCAGAGCGCGUUAAUGCGUGAUGGCGUGCCUUUUGUAGAAUGAACCGGCGAGUUAUGAUCCCGUGCAAGGUUAAGACUAAAAAGUCGGAGCCGUAGCGAAAGCGAGUCUGAAAUGGGCGAUUUGAGUACGAGGUUAUAGACCCGAAACCAGGUGACCUAUCCAUGUCCAGGUUGAAGGUGCGGUAAAACGCACUGGAGGACCGAACCCGUGUAAGUUGAAAAUUGCUGGGAUGAGGUGUGGAUAGCGGUGAAAUUCCAAACGAACUUGGAGAUAGCUGGUUCUCUCCGAAAUAGCUUUAGGGCUAGCCUCGGAUUAAGGAUCAUGGAGGUAGAGCACUAUUUGGACUAGGGGCCCGUCUUGGGUUACUGAAUUCAGAUAAACUCCGAAUGCCAUUGAUUCAUGUCCGGGAGUCAGACGAUGAGUGAUAAGAUCCACCGUCGAAAGGGGAACAGCCCAGACCAUCAGUUAAGGUCCCUAAAUGUAUGCUAAGUGGAAAAGGAUGUGGAGUUGCAUAGACAACUAGGAUGUUGGCUCAGAAGCAGCCACCAUUUAAAGAGUGCGUAAUAGCUCACUAGUCGAGUGAUCCUGCGCCGAAAAUGUACCGGGGCUAAGCAUACUACCGAAACCAUGGAUGCGACCAUUAGGUCGCGUGAUAGGAGAGCGUUCUAAGGGCGGUGAAGCAAGAUCGUGAGGACUUGUGGAGCGCUUAGAAGUGAGAAUGCCGGUAUGAGUAGCGAAAGAUAGGUGAGAAUCCUAUCCACCGAAUGACUAAGGUUUCCUGGGGAAGGCUCGUCCUCCCAGGGUUAGUCGGGACCUAAGUCGAGGCCGAGAGGCGUAGACGAUGGAUAACAGGUUGAGAUUCCUGUACUAGUUAAGUGCGUUUGAGCAAUGGAGGGACGCAGGAGGCUAAGAUGUGCAUUCUGUUGGAUUAGAAUGUCCAAGCAGUAAGUCUUGUGGAGAGUCAAAUGCUUUUCACUUUAAGGACAAGCUGUGAUGGGGAGCGAAAUUUAGUAGCGAAGCGUCUGAUGUCACACUGCCGAGAAAAGCUUCUAGUGAGUACUUAACUACCCGUACCGCAAACCGACACAGGUAGUCGAGGAGAGAAUCCUAAGGUGAGCGAGUGAACUCUCGUUAAGGAACUCGGCAAAAUGACCCCGUAACUUCGGGAGAAGGGGUGCUGAUCGCAAGAUCAGCCGCAGUGAAUAGGCCCAGGCGACUGUUUAUCAAAAACACAGGUCUCUGCAAAAUCGUAAGAUGACGUAUAGGGGCUGACGCCUGCCCGGUGCUGGAAGGUUAAAAGGAUGGGUUAGCUUCGGCGAAGCUCAGAAUUGAAGCCCCAGUAAACGGCGGCCGUAACUAUAACGGUCCUAAGGUAGCGAAAUUCCUUGUCGGGUAAGUUCCGACCCGCACGAAAGGCGUAACGAUCUGGGCACUGUCUCAACGAGAGACUCGGUGAAAUUAUAUUGUCCGUGAAGAUGCGGACUACCCGCGACAGGACGGAAAGACCCCAUGGAGCUUUACUGUAGCUUGAUAUUGAGUGUUUGUACAGCUUGUACAGGAUAGGUAGGAGCCAUAGAAACCGGAACGCUAGUUUCGGUGGAGGCGUUGGUGGGAUACUACCCUCGCUGUAUGACCACUCUAACCCGCACCACUAAUCGUGGUGGGAGACAGUGUCAGGUGGGCAGUUUGACUGGGGCGGUCGCCUCCUAAAAAGUAACGGAGGCGCCCAAAGGUUCCCUCAGAAUGGUUGGAAAUCAUUCGCAGAGUGUAAAGGCACAAGGGAGCUUGACUGCGAGACAGACAGGUCGAGCAGGGACGAAAGUCGGGCUUAGUGAUCCGGUGGUACCGUAUGGAAGGGCCAUCGCUCAACGGAUAAAAGCUACCCUGGGGAUAACAGGCUUAUCUCCCCCAAGAGUCCACAUCGACGGGGAGGUUUGGCACCUCGAUGUCGGCUCAUCGCAUCCUGGGGCUGUAGUCGGUCCCAAGGGUUGGGCUGUUCGCCCAUUAAAGCGGUACGCGAGCUGGGUUCAGAACGUCGUGAGACAGUUCGGUCCCUAUCCGUCGCGGGCGUAGGAAAUUUGAGAGGACCUGUCCUUAGUACGAGAGGACCGGGAUGGACAUACCUCUGGUGUACCAGUUGUGCCGCCAGGCGCAUCGCUGGGUAGCUACGUAUGGAUGUGAUAAACGCUGAAAGCAUCUAAGUGUGAAACACACCUCGAGAUGAGAUUUCCCAUUCCUUUAUGGAAGUAAGACCCCUGAAAGAUGAUCAGGUAGAUAGGUUAGAAGUGGCAGUGCGGUGACGCAUGAAGCGGACUAAUACUAAUCGGUCGAGGACUUAACCAA